UACGUAGGGUGCAAGCGUUGUCCGGAAUUAUUGGGCGUAAAGAGCUCGUAGGCGGUUUGUCGCGUCUGCUGUGAAAACUCGGGGCUUAACUCCGGGCCGGCAGUGGGUACGGGCAGACUAGAGUGCGGUAGGGGAGACUGGAAUUCCUGGUGUAGCGGUGAAAUGCGCAGAUAUCAGGAGGAACACCGGUGGCGAAGGCGGGUCUCUGGGCCGUAACUGACGCUGAGGAGCGAAAGCGUGGGGAGCGAACAGG
rnacentral:rRNA from 1 species